rnacentral:tRNA from 1 species
AUCUAAAUAGUUUAAGUGAAAAUAUUGGUUUGUGGUGCCGGUGAUAUAAGAUUUGUUUUAGAUU